rnacentral:rRNA from 1 species
CUACGGGCGGCUCCAGUGAGGAAUUUUGCGCAAUGGGGGGAACCCUGACGCAGCAACGCCGCGUGAGUGAUGAAGGCUUUCGGGUCGUAAAGCUCUGUCAAGUGGGAAGAACCUAUGCAGUGUUAAUAUCACUGUAUACUGACGGUACCACUGAAGGAAGCACCGGCUAACUCCGUGCCAGCAGCCGCGGUAAUACGGGGGGUGCAAGCGUUAUUCGGAAUCAUUGGGCGUAAAGGGCACGUAGGCGGCUUGGUAAGUCAGAUGUGAAGGCCCGGGGCGUAACCCCGGAAGUGCAUUUGAUACUGUCAGGCUUGAGUAUGGGAGAGGGAAGUGGAAUUCCUGGUGUAGAGGUGAAAUUCGUAGAUAUCAGGAGGAACACCGGUGGCGAAGGCGACUUCCUGGACCAAUACUGACGCUGAGGUGCGAAGGCGUGGGUAGCAAACAGGAUUAGAUACCCUGGUAGUC